GACGAACGCUGGCGGCGCGCUUAACACAUGCAAGUCGAACGGAAAGGCCUGCUUUCCCUUGUGGAUUGCGGGUACUCGAGUGGCGAACGGGUGAGUAACACGUGAGUGAUCUGCCCCCAACUUGGGUAUAAGCCUGGGAAACUGGGUCUAAUUCCCGAUAGGACUGCAGGGUGGUGCCUGUGGUGGAAAACGAUUUUCUAGUGGUUGGGGAUGAGCUCGCGGCCUAUCAGCUUGUUGGUGGGGUAAUGGCCUACCAAGGCGGCGACGGGUAGCCGGCCUGAGAGGGUGGACGGCCACAUUGGGACUGAGAUACGGCCCAGACUCCUACGAGAGGCAGCAGUGGGGAAUAUUGCACAAUGGGCGGAAGCCUGAUGCAGCGACGCCGCGUGGGGGAUGACGGCCUUCGGGUUGUAAACUCCUUUCGACCGCGAGGAAGCCACCUGGUUGGAAGGGUGGUGACGGUAGUGGUAGAAGAAGCACCGGCUAACUACGUG
rnacentral:rRNA from 1 species